AGAAUUGAAGUUGGGCCUUGGUGGACUAGGAGCUCACGGCCCAAGGGGAUUUUCUCAAGAUAAUUGCACUUUUAAUUUCAUUUGGUAGAUGAAUAUUGGUCACAUAAUUGAUAGAUGAAAAAGCAUGUUUAAUUAUCCCUUUGUUUUGCAUGAAUUUGCAUGGUAGGUUUAGUUGCUUUUGAUGUCUCUAAUUUAGUGUUGCAUUUUAAUAGUUUUAAUUGUGUUUAGAUAAUUGUUUGUUGAAUGUUGGGAUUAGCACUUUAUUUUACCUUGAUGUCUUCUAACUUACACAGUCGAGUUUAAUGUCCAUUCGUUUUAAUUUAGUUAUUCGUAUUCGCAAAAACACUUUUCAAACCCCCCCCCCUUUUGUGUUAGACUUGACUCUGAACCGCAGUUGGUCCUUGAAAGACGACCUAGGGGUCAUUCCCUAGCAUUA
rnacentral:lncRNA from 1 species